rnacentral:rRNA from 1 species
UGGGGAAUUUUGGACAAUGGGGGCAACCCUGAUCCAGCCAUCCCGCGUGUGCGAUGAAGGCCUUCGGGUUGUAAAGCACUUUUGGCAGGGAAGAAACAGCGCGGGCUAAUAACCUGUGCUAAUGACGGUACCUGCAGAAUAAGCACCGGCUAACUACAUGCCAGCAGCCGCGGUAAUACGUAGGGUGCAAACGUUAAUCGGAAUUACUGGGCGUAAAGCGUGCGCAGGCGGUUCGGAAAGAAAGGUGUGAAAUCCCAGGGCUUAACCUUGGAACUGCACUUUUAACUACCGGGCUAGAGUACGUCAGAGGGGGGUAGAAUUCCACGUGUAGCAGUGAAAUGCGUAGAGAUGUGGAGGAAUACCGAUGGCGAAGGCAGCCCCCUGGGAUGAUACUGACGCUCAUGCACGAAAGCGUGGGGAGCAAACAGGAUUAGAUACCCUGGUAGUCCACGCCCUAAACGAUGUCAACUAGCUGUUGGGGUUUAUUAACCUUAGUAGCGCAGCCAACGCGUG